rnacentral:rRNA from 1 species
GAUGAACGCUGGCGGCGUGCCUAAUACAUGCAAGUCGAGCGAAUGGAUUAAGAGCUUGCUCUUAUGAAGUUAGCGGCGGACGGGUGAGUAACACGUGGGUAACCUGCCCAUAAGACUGGGAUAACUACGGGAAACCGGGGCUAAUACCGGAUAACAUUUUGGACCGCAUGGUUCGAAAUUGAAAGGCGGCUUCGGCUGUCACUUACGAAUGGACCCGCGUCGCAGUAGCUAGUUGGUGAGGUAACGGCUCACCAAGGCAACGAUGCGUAGCCGACCUGAGAGGGUGAUCGGCCACACUGGGACUGAGACACGGCCCAGACUCCUACGGGAGGCAGCAGUAGGGAAUCUUCCGCAAUGGACGAAAGUCUGAUGGAGCAACGCCGCGUGAGUGAUGAAGGCUUUCGGGUCGUAAAACUCUGUUGUUAGGGAAGAACAAGUGCUAGUUGAAUAAGCUGGCACCUUGACGGUACCUAACCAGAAAGCCACGGCUAACUACGUGCCAGCCGCCGCAGUAA